rnacentral:rRNA from 1 species
GGUCAAGAUAUUAAGAGCACAGGGUGAAUGCCUUGGCACUGAGAGCCGAUGAAGGACGUGGUAAGCUGCGAAAAGCUACGGGGAGUUGCAAGCAAACAUUGAUCCGUAGAUGUCCGAAUGGGGAAACCCGGCUAGAGUAAUGUCUAGUCACUAUGCACUGAAUACAUAGGUGUAUAGGGGGAACGUGGGGAACUGAAACAUCUAAGUACCCAUAGGAGUAGAAAGAAAAAUCGAUUUCCUAAGUAGCGGCGAGCGAACGGGAAAGAGCCCAAACCGCAUCCUUCGGGAUUCGGGGUUGUGGAUGAUCAAUAACGUGAUGGAGGUAGCUUAGUAGAAGAGGUCUGGAAAGGCCCACCAUAGAGGGUGAUAGUCCCGUAAACGAAAAGCGAAGACCCACAGAUUAUUCCAGAGUACUACGAGGCACGUGAAACCUUGUAGGAAGCAGGGAGGACCAUCUCCCAAGGCUAAAUACUACUCAGUGACCGAUAGCGCAUAGUACCGUGAGGGAAAGGUGAAAAGAACCCCGGGAGGGGAGUGAAAUAGAACCUGAAACCCUGUGUUUACAAGCAGUGGAAGUUCGUUAAGGAACGACCACGUACUUUUUGUAGAACGGGCCAACGAGUUACGUUACGCAGCAAGGUUAAGGUGUUCAGCACCGGAGCCGCAGGGAAACCGAGUCUUAAUAGGGCGACUAAGUUGUGUGGCGUAGACCCGAAACCAGGUGACCUAUCCAUGAGCAGGUUGAAGCGCAGGUAAGACUGCGUGGAGGACCGAACCCAUAUCUGUUGAAAAAGGUUGGGAUGACUUGUGGAUAGCGGAGAAAUUCCAAUCGAACCUGGAGAUAGCUGGUUCUCCCCGAAAUAGCUUUAGGGCUAGCCUUGAUAUUAGUGACGCGGAGGUAGAGCACUGAAUACUCUAGGGGCUUUCACCGGCUACCGAAAGUUAUCAAACUCCGAAUGCCGCAGUCAUAUGAUCAGGAGUCAGACUAUGGGUGAUAAGAUUCAUAGUCAAAAGGGAAACAACCCAGACCAUCAGCUAAGGUCCCAAAGUGUGGAUUAAGUGGGAAAGGAUGUGGGAUUGCACAGACAACUAGGAUGUUGGCUUAGAAGCAGCCAUUCAUUUAAAGAGUGCGUAAUAGCUCACUAGUCGAGUGAUCCUGCGCCGAAAAUUACCGGGGCUAAAAUCCACCACCGAAGCUAUGGCUUAACAGUUUACUGUUAGGGGUAGGGGAGCAUUCUGUACGGGUAGAAGCGGUAUCGCGAGGAGCCGUGGACUGUACAGAAGAGAGAAUGUUGGCAUGAGUAGCGAAAGGCGGGUGAGAAUCCCGCCGGCCGAAAACCUAAGGUUUCCUGAGGAAGGUUCGUCCGCUCAGGGUUAGUCAGGACCUAAGCCGAGGACGAAAGUCGUAGGCGAUGGACAACAGGUUAAUAUUCCUGUACCACCAAGAAUCGUUUGAGAGAGGGAAUGACACAGGAGGUUAGGCGAGCGCACUAUUGGAUGUGCGUCCAAGCAGCGAGUGAGAGAAGAUAGGCAAAUCCGUCUUCUUGUUAAUUGUGAGCUGUGAUGGGGAGUGAAAAAUAAGUAGCGAAGUCGUUGAUAUCACACUGUCGAGAAAAGUUUCUAUCGAGAUUUAAGGUGCCUGUACCGCAAACCGACACAGGUAGGUAAGUAGAGAAUACUAAGGCAAGCGAGAUAACUAUUGUUAAGGAACUCGGCAAAAUGACCCCGUAACUUCGGGAGAAGGGGUGCCGGAAUAGGUUCAGAGCUAAUUCCGGCCGCAGAGAAUAGGCCCAAGCGACUGUUUACCAAAAACACAGGUCUCUGCUAAAUCGAAAGAUGACGUAUAGGGGCUGACGCCUGCCCGGUGCUGGAAGGUUAAGGGGACUAGUUAGAGCAAUCGAAGCUAUGAACCGAAGCCCCAGUAAACGGCGGCCGUAACUAUAACGGUCCUAAGGUAGCGAAAUUCCUUGUCGGGUAAGUUCCG